rnacentral:rRNA from 1 species
UACGUAGGGUGCGAGCGUUGUCCGGAAUUAUUGGGCGUAAAGGGCUCGUAGGCGGUCUGUCACGUCGGGAGUGAAAACACGGGGCUUAACCCCGUGCCUGCUUCCGAUACGGGCAGACUAGAGGUAUGCAGGGGAGAACGGAAUUCCUGGUGUAGCGGUGAAAUGCGCAGAUAUCAGGAGGAACACCGGUGGCGAAGGCGGUUCUCUGGGCAUUACCUGACGCUGAGGAGCGAAAGUGUGGGGAGCUAACAGG